UCAUCAGGGAAUUCCCCAGACGCUUUUAGCGCAUCGGCACCGAUGCGCUAAAAUUUCAGAACAAGAAAUCCCGAUGCGCUUAAAAUUAUCAUAGCGCUUUAAAAAAUGACCGAUAUUCCUUUCUAUUGUGUCUAUAAGUUAACCCCAAUUAGCCAAAUAAACAAGCCAAUAUACAUGUCCUGUGUAGAUAAUUACCCGAGGCGUAUACACAACCCGAUACACUGAUUGCCUUGAGACUGUGUGACGUCACAGACACCUGUCAUCGAUGUCUGCAGACGACUGUUGGUGCACUUUCAGGUGUUGUCAAUUACCAUUGAACCGCGGCAUGUGUGAUAUUUACAUGUUUCAGGUAGGUGAAAUACAUUUUAUUGUUUUGAUAGUAUAAUUGGCAUUAAUUGACUUGCGAUAUAACAGUUUGAUAUUUAGGGAUGAAUGGGUUAAUUGUCUUGAUAUAAGUGUAAUGUUUAAUUUCAUCUUUCACUUUCUUACGACCGUAACGUCUAAGCAGUACUGUAGUAUUAAGAUUUCAAAAAAUAAUAUGUCUAACAUGAAUAAGGGAAGCCUAGUUCACUAUCAAUUAAAGAGUUUUUGUGAGCAAUGUCGUUGAAACUGUCUCAGGAUCAUUUUGCUAUUUAAUAUAUACAUGAUAAUCGUAUUUUACUUGGAUUAAACUGCAUAGAUAUUCAGAAUAAAUUUGGUUGAUGGCUACUUUAACAUUGAAAACAUUUACGACUGUUUAUUAUCAACUUGCAACUGAGUGAAAACAACAACAAAAACUUUACAUCAACAAUCCCACUUAGACUAAGAGACAUUGGUCAUUUUCUUUUUUAAUUGAAAAAAAAGAGUAAAAAUAUCUUGUAAACUGUUUCUGUUAACUGAAUCCCCAAAAUGUGAAAAAAAAUAAUUUUGCAGAUGGACAGCUUUGUGAAGUGCAAUCAACUGUCCAUGCCCCUUAGCAUUGGUUUGUCAGGACAUACAGGAGCUGGCCAGGCACUUUGGUGUAGAUAUGGAGCAGUGCCGCAGCCACUGGCACCAGGUACGUGCCAGUCUAGAGGGGAUUGAUCAGUCAGCCGACCAGACCAUGAUCUGGAUUACUGGCAACCUUUCUACCAGUCAUCCAGCUCUUUAAAGAAUUGCUGCUGUGGGUCUCCUCCUCCCAACCUCUACUGCAGAUUGUGAGCGAGGAUUCAGCUGCCUGAAAACAGGAAUUGUCUCUCUGUUUAAGUUCUAAACUAUCUUCUUGCCGUCUCCCUUCAAGGACCCCCAUUAGAAUCUUUCAACUUUGAGAAGGCAGUCAAGGCAUGGAAGGACAACAAACCUAGAUGACAGGCCCACUUUUAAUGAUGUUAAUGAAGAAAAAAAAACUGAAAUAUACUCAUUUAAAUGGGACACACACAUACAUAUAAAUGUUGAUCACAUGUUGUGAACUUGUGUUUAUAUAUAAUUGUUUAUUUAUUUGAAUUGUUGGAUAUGGAACAAAUAAAUAAUAAAAAUUAAGAAAAUGUUUAUCAAGUGAAAAGCUUUCAUUAUUUGUUUUAAAACAGCCCACAGCAGUAUAUUGACACCUAAAAUGGCAAAAAAUUUCGACAUGCGGUAUGGGGGUCAACACCCCCUCCCGCACCCACCCCCGUCUAAUUCAAAAAAUGUAGCGCUUAAAAAAAUUCCUGGGGAAUUCCC